UCAGCAGUCCGCGGUUAGACUGAGGACCUUAAACCUUAGUAGCCCUUGGCCCUAAAUUUCUUUUAAAAAGGGGGGGUGAAAUCCCCUUUUUAUAGAGAAUAGCUUUUCGGGCUUAACCCUCCAGGAUAAACCGGGAUUAGAUACCCCGCUAUAUGGAGAGGGUUCGUAAGGGGGGUAGUAACGGCUAGGUCCCCCAAACCCAAAGAACUUGGCGGCAGCUUACCCAACUAGAGGAGCCUGCCCCGUAACCGAUACCACCCGUUAGUUUGACCUUCCGUAUGUUUGUAUACCGCCGUCUAAUCUUUAACUUCUAGGUUAAGGUAGCAAGGCCACCCCCUAAGACAGGUCGAGGUGCAGCGUAUCGGAAGGUGGAGGUGGGCUACAAUUCCUCUGGUAGCAGACUUUUCUAUUAUAGGAGAAGGCAAGAUGGAUUUAGAGGUACCGGGGGGUUAAUACCCCCCCGCGAAUUGGAUUUAAGCCGUGUACAUAUCGCCCGUCACUCUCAAUAAACUUGAGAUAA
rnacentral:rRNA from 1 species